GCACUGGUAGUGUGCGGCACACCCGCCGACCGAUUUCAUCAACACCGCUUGGUUCGCGGCGAGCUGGGGUUCGAUUCCCCACCAGUGCA